AGACCGCGUUUCCGCUGACGGAACCUUGUGGAGCACCACAGUGCGGAUGCGCAGGAGAGUCAAUGCCGACCGUCUGGGCAGCCUUG
rfam:Clostridiales bacterium 52_15 Ley3_66761_scaffold_24053, whole genome shotgun sequence.